UUAACAACAGGGCCUGCUUGAACAAAUAACUCCCAGAGCAAUUCUUCAGUCACCUGAGGAUCAAGAUUGCCGACGUAAGCAGUGGCAUCCUGAUUCCUCUCAGCCGAGUGUUGGCCUAGCAAAUUCGCUCCCACUCCUGGAGCAAUUCGAGUGGUCAUUAUUACGUCUAGCUAAAGUAGCAAAGUUGGGCGGGCCAGUAAGCUGUUCACGUCAGCGGAGGAGUCACGGUGGAGGUUUGCAGCUAGGCG
rnacentral:misc_RNA from 1 species